rnacentral:lncRNA from 1 species
UUUUGACAUUAGACUCGGACUUCUCUUGAACUGAAUUUUAAUGUGCGUAUUGUUAUUGUUUUACUUUUCUACAUUGGCUAGAGGUAUAGGGGGAGGGUUGAGAUCUCAUAAACAUGUUUAACCCCGCCGCAAUUUUGUGCCUGUCCCAAGUCAGGAGCCUCUGGCCUUUGUUAGUCUUGUAUUAUUUUAAAUUUUAGUUUCUUGUGUAUAAUUCGGAGUUUAGUAUGACGUCCAUUAUCACUGUACUAUUAUGCAUAUUUUAGGGGCCAGCUGAAGGACACCUACGGGUGCGGGAAUUCUCGCUACAUUGAAGACCCAUUGGUUGCCUUCGGCUGUUGUUUGCUCUAUGGUCGGGUGGUUGUCGCUUUGACAUAUUCACCAUUUCCUUUCUCAAUUUUA